rnacentral:rRNA from 1 species
AGUGAACGCUGGCGGUAGGCCUAACACAUGCAAGUCGAACGGCAGCACAGUAAGAGCUUGCUCUUACGGGUGGCGAGUGGCGGACGGGUGAGGAAUACAUCGGAAUCUACUUUUUCGUGGGGGAUAACGUAGGGAAACUUACGCUAAUACCGCAUACGACCUACGGGUGAAAGCAGGGGAUCUUCGGACCUUGCGCGAUUGAAUGAGCCGAUGUCGGAUUAGCUAGUUGGCGGGGUAAAGGCCCACCAAGGCGACGAUCCGUAGCUGGUCUGAGAGGAUGAUCAGCCACACUGGAACUGAGACACGGUCCAGACCCCUAGGGGAGGCAGAAGGGGGGAAUUUUGGAAAAGGGGGGAAAGCCUGACCCAGCCAUCCCGGGGGGGGGAAGAAGGCCUUCGGGUUGUAAAGCCUUUUUGUUGGGAAAAAAAAGCAGCAGGUUAAUCCCCCGCUGUUUUGACGGUACCAAAAAAAAAAGCACCGGCAAACUUCGU